rnacentral:sRNA from 1 species
UAACGGUAGCGUGCAGUGCAGCCUCAAC